rnacentral:rRNA from 1 species
UACGUAGGGGGCUAGCGUUGUCCGGAAUCAUUGGGCGUAAAGAGCGUGUAGGCGGUCCGGUAAGUCCGCUGUGAAAGUCGGGGGCUCAACCCUCGAAUGCCGGUGGAUACUGUCGGGCUAGAGUGCGGAAGAGGCGAGUGGAAUUCCUGGUGUAGCGGUGAAAUUCGUAGAUAUUGGGUGGAACACCGGUGGCGAAAGCGGCUCUCUGGUCCGGACCUGGACGCUGAGGCGCGAAAGCGUGGGGAGCAAACAGG